GGAAGGAUCAUUAAUGAACUUGUGGUUGUUGCUGGCUAGUGUCUCUAGCAUGUGCACACGCACCUUCAUUCCACUUACACCUGUGCACCUUUUGUAGUAUGCUGUGAAAGGGGCAAGUCUUAUAGGCUGUCUCUCGAUCACUUACUACGUUUUUUACACACACACAAAUAGUCAUUGAAUGUCAUUUGAUUUUUAUAUUGAAAAAACAACUUUCAACAACGGAUCUCUUGGCUCUCGCAUCGAUGAAGAACGUAGCGAAUUACGAUAUGUAAUGUGAAUUGCAGAAUUCAGUGAAUCAUCGAAUCUUUGAACGCAUCUUGCGCUCUCUGGUAUUCCGGAGAGCAUGCCUGUUUGAGUGUCAUGAAUCUCUCAAAUACAAGACUUUAUUGUUUUUGUGUUUGGACUUGGAAGCUUGUCGGCGCAAGUCGACUCUUCUUAAAUGCAUUAGCUGGGGUUUAUAUAGUGGAUCCUUGGUGUGAUAAUUAUCUACGCCUUGAAGUCCCGGUAGACCUUGCUUCAAACCGUCUCUCUAAAAGACAAUUUUGAAUCAUCUGGCCUCAAAUCAGGUAGAACUACCCGCUAAACUUAACCAUAUCAA
rnacentral:rRNA from 1 species